UACGAGGGGGCAAGCGGUUGUUCGGAAUUAUUGGGCGUAAAGGGCGCGUAGGCGGUGUCGCAAGUUCCGUGGUGAAAUCUCUAGGCUCAAACUUAGAGACUGCCGCGGAAACUGCGGUGCUUGAGUGUGGGGAGAGGUGCGUGGAAUUCCCGGUGUAGCGGAUGAAAUGCGUAGAUAUCGGGAGGAACACCUGUGGCGAAAGCGGCGCACUGGACCACAACUGACGCUGAGGCGCGAAAGCUAGGGGAGCAAACAGG
rnacentral:rRNA from 1 species